AAAGAGCCUAAGCGACAGAAGGUCACGACACUCCGGAAGAAGGUCGCACGACAGGAUUAUGAAUCAAUCAAGAAAUACUGAGGGAGUAUGGAAAAAAGUAAAAUAACAACUUUACAGCUCAGGGAAGAAUUGUUGAGCAAGAUUAUUCCUGACUUUACUGAUGAGGAGCCAACCCUUCCCAGUUAUUCAUCAGCCAUCAUGAGCCUUGAUCGAACCAAGAAUCUCUUUGAUUAUGCAGCACCUUUAUUUGAAGUUAAGUCAUGCCAGAGAAAACUUUCUUUACAAGUGACAGAGGUAAGAGGUGACGUAGGCUUUGAUGUUAUAUGCAAACAUUGCAACAGGCUAACAUAUUCAGAUCAUCCUACGUCACUGGAGCCUUUUAUAACCAAAACAAACUGUUGCCAAGUUUUUAAUUCAAUUGAACAGGGUUCUGGCGAUACUGGGUAUGUCAGUAAUGUCACACACUCAGGCAUAAACCCAUUGACAAAACAUAGGUACCAUUGCAUAGUGGAUUACAUUCAUCUAAAGGUAGUCAAGCAUAUGAAAGAAAUGUCUGGUUAUACAAUUGAAUGCAUAAGAGAUUACUAUCCUUCAGUGGGGGUCUAUCAGGACAAUAAAAGGAUUUUAGAUGUGGAUGUGUCUUAUGACGGCAUGUGGAUCAGGAGGGGGCCAUAAUUCUCAUGUACAUUUAGGAUUUGUAAUGGAGUGUGGGACAGGUUUUGUUUUGGAUUUUGAAGACCUUAGCAACUAUUGCCUUUCUUGCCAAAAGGCUGAAGAAACCUGUUGAAACACUCUGUUACAGAGGAGGAAUUCACACAGAAAAUUGUAGACAUGCUCAGAAGUGUAACAAACAUUUUAGAGGCUGUGGGGGGCACAGUCAGUCAAAAGUAACAAAAUGCGCUAUUUAACCUUUGUAAGGGAUGGUGAUUCAUCUGCUUUUGAAGGAAUCAAAGCAAUGAAUAAAGGUAAUGGUCCUUACAACAUUCCUGUUACCAAACAGAAAUGUAUCGGUCAUGUGUCCAACUCUUUGGGUAGACAGCUAAAAUAUCUUUAAAAAAAAAGAA